rnacentral:tRNA from 2 species
CUGCCCGUAGCUCAGUUGGAUAGAGCAUCUGCCUUCUAAGCAGAGGGUCGCGGGUUCGAUUCCUGCCGGGCAGG